AGCAGUCGCCGCGGUAAUACAGAGGGUGCGAGCGUUAAUCGGAUUUACUGGGCGUAAAGCGUGCGUAGGCGGAUUCUUAAGUCGGAUGUGAAAUCCCUGAGCUUAACUUAGGAAUUGCAUUCGAUACUGGGAAGCUAGAGUAUGGGAGAGGAUGGUAGAAUUCCAGGUGUAGCGGUGAAAUGCGUAGAGAUCUGGAGGAAUACCGAUGGCGAAGGCAGCCAUCUGGCCUAAUACUGACGCUGAGGUACGAAAGCAUGGGGAGCAAACAGGAUUAGAUACCCCCGUAGUCCCUGUCUCUUAUAC
rnacentral:rRNA from 1 species